GACGAACGCUGGCGGCGUGCCUAAUACAUGCAAGUAGAACGCUGAAGAGAGGAGCUUGCUCUUCUUGGAUGAGUUGCGAACGGGUGAGUAACGCGUAGGUAACCUGCCUUGUAGCGGGGGAUAACUAUUGGAAACGAUAGCUAAUACCGCAUAACAAUGGAUGACACAUGUCAUUUAUUUGAAAGGGGCAAUUGCUCCACUACAAGAUGGACCUGCGUUGUAUUAGCUAGUAGGUGAGGUAAUGGCUCACCUAGGUGACGAUACAUAGCCGACCUGAGAGGGUGAUCGGCCACACUGGGACUGAGACACGGCCCAGACUCCUACGGGAGGCAGCAGUAGGGAAUCUUCGGCAAUGGGGGCAACCCUGACCGAGCAACGCCGCGUGAGUGAAGAAGGUUUUCGGAUCGUAAAGCUCUGUUGUAAGUCAAGAACGGGUGUGAGAGUGGAAAGUUCACACUGUGACGGUAGCUUACCAGAAAGGGACGGCUAACUACGUG
rnacentral:rRNA from 1 species